UAGGGAAUCUUCCACAAUGGACGCAAGUCUGAUGGAGCAACGCCGCGUGAGUGAAGAAGGUUUUCGGACCGUAAAGCUCUGUUGUUGGUGAAGAAGGAUAGAGGUAGUAACUGGCCUUUAUUUGACGGUAAUCAACCAGAAAGUCACGGCUAACUACGUGCCAGCAGCCGCGGUAAUACGUAGGUGGCAAGCGUUGUCCGGAUUUAUUGGGCGUAAAGCGAGCGCAGGCGGAAGAAUAAGUCUGAUGUGAAAGCCCUCGGCUUAACCGAGGAAUUGCAUCGGAAACUGUUUUCUUGAGUGCAGAAGAGGAGAGUAGAACUCCAUGUGUAGCGGUGGAAUGCGUAGAUAUAUGGAAGAAUACCAGUGGCGAAGGCGGCUCUCUGGUCUGCAAACUGACGCUGAGGCUCGAAAGCAUGGGUAGCGAACAGGAUUAGAUACCCUGGUAGUCCAUGCCGUAAACGAUGAGUGCUAAGUGUUGGAGAUGCCCUU
rnacentral:rRNA from 1 species